UACGAAGGGGGCUAGCGUUGCUCGGAAUCACUGGGCGUAAAGGGUGCGUAGGCGGGUCUUUAAGUCCGGGGUGAAAUCCUGGAGCUCAACUCCAGAACUGCCUUUGAUACUGAGGAUCUUGAGUUUGGGAGAGGUGAGUGGAACUGCGAGUGUAGAGGUGAAAUUCGUAGAUAUUCGCAAGAACACCAGUGGCGAAGGCGGCUCACUGGCCCGAUACUGACGCUGAGGAGCGAAAGCGUGGGGAGCGAACAGG
rnacentral:rRNA from 1 species